GUGAGGAGGGAGGACGCCAAGGAGCUGCAGGGAAAAGGCCUGUCCAAGGCUAUAGGCAGAUGUAUACGUCUCGCCCUGAAAACGGGGGAGGCCGCGGCAGCCAGUAACCCAUAUACUAUGUGGAAUAAUAGAAAUGGGAGAGAUCUGUCAAUCAAUCCAUGUCAGGCCCAGACAAGCCAGGGGGGGAAAAGAUCUUGCGAUUAUGUCUCCAAAUUGCGGAUCCACAAAACAUCGAUACUGGGUGUGUGCAUUCCGCAUUAUGCAGAACAGUCCUAUCCUUGUCUGUCAUGCGGACAAUAAAAUGACAUGGUCUAUCAUUUUGCAGAAUGGCCAUGCGGACAUACAGACACAGAGUCAAAUAUUAUUAAUUUUAUAUUUUAAGCACGCCCCCUGUCUCCUCUUGUUAGAUUGAGAGCCUGCAGUGUGGCCGGGAUCGCAUAGGUCUCGCUCAUGCGCUCCUUGGUAAGGCACAAUCCUGUCUCCGGCUGCCGCUGUUAGCUGGGUUUCAGCGGCGCAUGCGCAAGACUUAUGGCAUCCUGGCCGCACUGCAGGCUGUCAAUCUAACAAAAGAGGGGACAGUUAGGGGGCAUGCUUACCUAGACUCGAAGCAAGGAAGCCUCAUUUGCAUACGACCUGCGAGGGAAUAAAAGUUGUUUUACAGCGAUCAUGAACCUCAGACAUCUUACACAAGAACAUCAUUAGAAGCCUGAUGUUAACAGCUUUAAGGUACUGCUGGCGGUUUAUGAUCCAUUUUGGUGCUGACAGGUUCCCUUUAAAGAGGACCUUUCAUGUUUUUCUUUUCUUUUAAAUAAAUACCUUUCCUUGUGAAGUA